rnacentral:rRNA from 1 species
UACGUAGGUGGCAAGCGUUGUCCGGAUUUACUGGGCGUAAAGAGCUCGCAGGCGGUUCGUCGCGUCGGCUGUGAAAUCCCGGAGCUCAACUCCGGGUCUGCAGUCGAUACGGGCGGACUUGAGUACUGCAGGGGAGACUGGAAUUCCUGGUGUAGCGGUGAAAUGCGCAGAUAUCAGGAGGAACACCGGUGGCGAAGGCGGGUCUCUGGGCAGUAACUGACGCUGGAGGAGCGAAAGCGUGGGGAGCGAACAGG